UCGCCCUUAGAGUUUGAUCCUGGCUCAGGAUGAACGCUAGCGGCACGCUUCAUACAUUCAAGUCGAGGGGCAGCAUAAAUUACUUGUAAUUUGAUGGCGACCGGCGAAGCGGGUGCGUAACGCGUAUGCAACUUACCUUUUACUAGAGAAUAGCCAAGAGAAAUUUUGAUUAAUGCUCUAUACUCUUAUUAACUCACAUGAGUUUUUAAGAAAAGCUCCGGCGGUAAAAGAUGGGCACGCGUCCUAUUAGCUUGUAGGUGAGGUAACGGCUCACCUAAGCUCCGAUAGGUAGGGGUCCUGAGAGGGAGAUCCCCCACACUGGUACUGAGACACGGACCAGACUUCUACGGAAGGCAGCAGUAAGGAAUAUUUUUCAAKGGAGGAAACUGUAAUCUAGCGAUGCCGCGUGAAGGAAGACGGCCCUAUGGGUUGU
rnacentral:rRNA from 1 species